CCAAUGUGGAUACCCUGGGAGGUCACUCUCCCUGGGGCUUUGUCCAGGUGGCACAGGGGAACAUAGGGCUCAGCCAAGUGAUGUAAAGUCCCAUUCCACAAAGUUGGAGAUGAAGAUGGGCUCUCGAGCCUGCACCUGCAUAUUCCUACAGCUUGUCAGAGUCCUAUGGACAGUAACUGUGGAGACAAACCUUGCAGGAAACAGUU
rnacentral:snoRNA from 1 species